CCUACGGGCGGCAGCAGUGGGGAAUAUUGGACAAUGGGCGAAAGCCUGAUCCAGCCAUGCCGCGUGUGUGAAGAAGGCCUUCGGGUUGUAAAGCACUUUCAGUGGGGAAGAAAGCCUUGGGGCUAAUACCCUCGAGGAAGGACAUCACCCACAGAAGAAGCACCGGCUAACUCCGUGCCAGCAGCCGCGGUAAUACGGAGGGUGCGAGCGUUAAUCGGAAUUACUGGGCGUAAAGCGCGCGUAGGCGGUCUGAUAAGCCGGUUGUGAAAGCCCCGGGCUCAACCUGGGAACGGCAUCCGGAACUGUCAGGCUAGAGUGCAGUAGAGGAAGGUAGAAUUCCCGGUGUAGCGGUGAAAUGCGUAGAGAUCGGGAGGAAUACCAGUGGCGAAGGCGGCCUUCUGGACUGACACUGACGCUGAGGUGCGAAAGCGUGGGUAGCAAACAGGAUUAGAUACCCUGGUAGUC
rnacentral:rRNA from 1 species